rnacentral:misc_RNA from 1 species
GGUUAUAAAGCUUAUUUCUAACUCUGGAAGGUUAAAAAUUUGGUAAAAUUAAAUGGUGUAUCUGAAUAAAUAAAGAAGCUUUUAUUGCAUUAACCAGGAAUAGGUUUUAUUUAAUUAUGAUUAUGAAUGUUUGUGUCUUAAGGGAUACAUCAAAUGAUUAGAUAAUUGAACAACAUUGUUUUGACUUAAUCUAUGUCUUGUGAGCAUAACAGAAUAGGUGCUUGAUAUUAAUGCCCUGGUGAUUGUCUAAUUUCAAAA